AACGUAGGAGACAAACGUUAUCCGGAGUUACUGGGCGUAAAGGGCGUGUAGGCGGUCUGUUAAGUCUGGCGUGAAAGCUCUCGGCUAAACCGGGAGAGGUCGUUGGAUACUGGCAGACUAGAGGACGGUAGAGGCGCGUGGAAUUCCGGGUGUAGUGGUGAAAUGCGUAGAGAUCCGGAGGAACACCAGUGGCGAAGGCGACACGCUGGGCCGUACCUGACGCUAAAGCGCGACAGCAUGGGGAGCAAACGGG
rnacentral:rRNA from 1 species